rnacentral:rRNA from 1 species
GACAGAGGUGCCAAGCGUUAGGCGGAAUCACUGGGCUUAAAGCGUGUGUAGGCGGAAGCGUAAGUGCCUUGUGAAAUCCCGCGGCUCAACCGCGGAACUGCUGGGCAUACUGCGUUUCUUGAGCCAAUCAGGGGUCGUCGGAACAAACGGUGGAGCGGUGAAAUGCGUAGAUAUCGCUUGGAACGCCGAAGGUGAAAACAGGCUGCUGGGGUUGCGCCGACGCUGAGACACGAAAGCCAGGGGAGCAAACGGG